GAUGAACGCUGGCGGCGUGCCUAACACAUGCAAGUCGAGCGAACAGAUGAGGAGCUUGCUCCUCUGACGUUAUCGGCCGACGGGUGAGUAACAUGUGGAUAACCUACCUAUAAGACUGGGAUAACUUCGGCAAACCAUAUCUAAUACCGGAUAAUAUAUUGAAUCACAUGGUUCAAUAGUUAAAUACGCUUUUGCUUUCGCUUAUAGAUUGCUCCGAUCCGCAUUCACUAGUUGGUUAGGUAAAUGCUUACCAAUGCUACGAUGCGUAGCCGACCUGAUAGGGUAAUAGGCCACACGGGAUGUGAGAAAGGGGAAAGACUCCAAAAGUAGGCAGCAGUCGGGAAUCUUCCGGAAUGGGCGAAUGCGUGACGUAGCACCGUCGAGUGAGUGAUGAAGGUCUAAGGGUCGUAGAACUAUGUUAGUAGGGAAGAAAUAAAGUGUAAGUAACUGUGAAGGUCUUGACGGUACCUGAUCAAAAAGCCGCGGCUAACUCCGUG
rnacentral:rRNA from 1 species